rnacentral:lncRNA from 1 species
UCCUACUUCUUUAACUAAAGCCUUGAGUCUCCUGGAGCCAAAUUAAUACUUGAGAGGUGUACCAGUGGGUUGUAUGGUGGCAUGUAUAUCUUAGAAUUAGGAGGACACACAGGAAGACGGCAUUUCCAGAGCCUCUCUUGUAGUUAGGUUGCAG